GAACCUGGGCGCAAGGUGAGGGGUGCUAUCUGUGAUUGAGGGACAUGGCACAUAGAAUUGUCUCACACAGAAAUCGCACCCGUCACCUUGGCCCAACUC
rnacentral:pre_miRNA from 12 species